rnacentral:tRNA from 3 species
CGGGGAGUAGCGCAGUUUGGCUAGCGCGUUUGAAUGGGGUUCAAAAGGUCGUGGGUUCAAGUCCCACCUCCCCGACCA